rnacentral:rRNA from 1 species
GACGAACGCUGGCGGCGUGCCUAAUACAUGCAAGUCGAGCGGUCCCUUCGGGGAUAGCGGCGGACGGGUGAGUAACACGUAGGCAACCUGCCUGUAAGACCGGAAUAACUAACGGAAACGAUAGCUAAGACCGGAUAGCUGGUUUUCUCGCAUGAGAGAAUCAUGAAACACGGGGCAACCUGUGGCUUACAGAUGGGCCUGCGGCGCAUUAGCUAGUUGGUAGGGUAACGGCCUACCAAGGCGACGAUGCGUAGCCGACCUGAGAGGGUGACCGGCCACACUGGGACUGAGACACGGCCCAGACUCCUACGGGAGGCAGCAGUAGGGAAUCUUCCGCAAUGGACGCAAGUCUGACGGAGCAACGCCGCGUGAGUGAUGAAGGUCUUCGGAUCGUAAAGCUCUGUUGCCCUAGACGAACAGCAAGGAGAGUAACUGCUCUUUGUGUGACGGUAUAGGAGAAGAAAGCCCCGGCUAACUACGUGCCAGCAGCCGCCGCAG